GAGGGUGUAACUCAUUGGUAGAGUGCAUGCUUAGCAUGCACAAGGUCCUGGGUUCAAUCCCCAGUACCUCCA
rnacentral:tRNA from 1 species